AUUGAACGCUAGCGGCAUGCUUAACACAUGCAAGUCGAACGAGUGGCGGACGGGUGAGUAAUAUCUCGGAAACUGCCCAGUAGCGGGGGAUAACUACUGGAAAGGGUAGCUAAUACCGCAUACCAUUAGAGCGGCCCAUAUGGGAUUAGCUAGUUGGUGGGGUAACGGCUCACCAAGGCAACGAUCCCUAGCUGGUUUGAGAGGAUGACCAGCCACACUGGAACUGAGACACGGUCCAGCCUCCUACGGGAGGCAGCAGUGGGGAAUUUUGGACAAUGGGCGCAAGCCUGAUUCAGCCAUCCAGCGUGUAUGAAGAAGGCCUUCGGGUUGUAAAGUACUUUCGGCGGGGAGGCGUUACCCGCAGAAGAAGCACCGGCUAACUACGUGCCAGCAGCCGCGGUAAUAC
rnacentral:rRNA from 1 species